CUCCCCGAUCUUUUCUCGGUUGCCACGGUGCCACCCUUCUCUGCUUUUCAUUUGCUCCCCAGCUUUAUCGAGCUUCCACACACCCGCUGAGAAAGAAGAUUGUAGCAUUAUCUUCAUCACAUAGUAGCAAGUUGAUCUAUUGUGGAAAGGAACUUUUGUAAGUUAAAACAUUGAAAAUAGGGGAUUCCGAUGGAGGUUUGUCGAACUCACAACUGCUGAAACAUUUGGGUGCUGGUGACUACUUGUCAGUUUGGAAAGGCUACGGGCCAUAUGGGAUUGUGGGUUGAGUUAUUAUUGGUCUUCUCAUACCUAUAUAGCUGUCUGCUCUGUUCCUGGGAAAGAAAAAGGAAAAGCAAAGAGGAGUUCCAGUACAAGUUGGUGGUGAGGCAGGUUAUGCAGUUCGUUAUGCUCGAGUUAGUGAGCUGGCUGAAGCUCCUUGGGAAGGAGCCACAACCAUGGCAGCUCUAUUUGAGCAAUCUUGUAAAAAAUUAAAUCAUCAAUUACUAAUUAGUAUGACUAAUUAGUAAUUAGUAUUUAAUUAGUAUUUUACCA